rnacentral:rRNA from 1 species
UAGGGAAUCUUCGGCAAUGGACGAAAGUCUGACCGAGCAACGCCGCGUGAGUGAAGAAGGUUUUCGGAUCGUAAAACUCUGUUGUUAGAGAAGAACAAGGACGUUAGUAACUGAACGUCCCCUGACGGUAUCUAACCAGAAAGCCACGGCUAACUACGUGCCAGCAGCCGCGGUAAUACGUAGGUGGCAAGCGUUGUCCGGAUUUAUUGGGCGUAAAGCGAGCGCAGGCGGUUUCUUAAGUCUGAUGUGAAAGCCCCCGGCUCAACCGUGGAGGGUCAUUGGAAACUGGGAGACUUGAGUGCAGAAGAGGAGAGUGGAAUUCCAUGUGUAGCGGUGAAAUGCGUAGAUAUAUGGAGGAACACCAGUGGCGAAGGCGGCUCUCUGGUCUGUAACUGACGCUGAGGCUCGAAAGCGUGGGGAGCAAACAGG